UACGGGAGGCAGCAGUGGGGAAUAUUGCACAAUGGGCGCAAGCCUGAUGCAGCCAUGCCGCGUGUAUGAAGAAGGCCUUCGGGUUGUAAAGUACUUUCAGUCGUGAGGAAGGUGUUAAGGUUAAUAACCUUAGCAAUUGACGUUAGCGACAGAAGAAGCACCGGCUAACUCCGUGCCAGCAGCCGCGGUAAUACGGAGGGUGCGAGCGUUAAUCGGAAUUACUGGGCGUAAAGGGCACGCAGGCGGUUAAUUAAGUUGGAUGUGAAAUCCCCGGGCUUAACCUGGGAAUGGCAUUCAAGACUGGUUAGCUAGAGUCUUGUAGAGGGGGUAGAAUUCCAUGUGUAGCGGUGAAAUGCGUAGAGAUGUGGAGGAAUACCGGUGGCGAAGGCGGCCCCUGGACAAAGACUGACGCUCAUGUGCGAAGCGUGGGGAGCAAACAGGGAUUAGAUACC
rnacentral:rRNA from 1 species